rfam:Gossypium raimondii Chr06_contig_38, whole genome shotgun sequence.
UAUUAAAAAUUUCAUCCAUUCAUAGUGUUAAAAACUGGCGUGGUUGAUGGAAUAACAUAUAAUGACACGUGUACUACAUGCUGAUAUAAAAUAACCAGUUUUUAACAGUAAAAAUAGAUGAAACUUUUAACA